GAUGAAGAACGUAGCGAAAUGCGAUAAGUAAUGUGAAUUGCAGAAUUCAGUGAAUCAUCGAAUCUUUGAACGCACAUUGCGCCCGCCAGUAUUCUGGCGGGCAUGCCUGUUCGAGCGUCAUUUCAACCAUCAAGCCCUCGGCUUGUGUUGGGGACCUGCGGCUGCCGCAGGCCCUGAAAACCAGUGGCGGGCUCGCUAGUCACUCCGAGCGUAGUAAUACAUCUCGCUCAGGGCGUGCUGCGGGUUCCGGCCGUUAAAAGCCUUAUUUACCCAAGGUUGACCUCGGAUCAGGUAGGAAGACCCGCUGAACUUAAGCAUAUCAAUAAGCGGAGGA
rnacentral:misc_RNA from 1 species